AAAAUAGGUCACGCGAUAUUGGUCUGCAAUCGCAGUUUCCCUUUUCUUUCUUAUUUUCUGAAUACUUCGGCAAAUACACAAUAUUUAUAACAACAUGGCAUGGUCAUGGGUGGUGAUCACUGAUGUAAAAUAUGAGCGAACCGACUUCUGAUUUUUAUUUAGCGAUUUUUCAUUAAAAAACUUUUGAAUU
rnacentral:ribozyme from 1 species